GUGGGUGAAUGGGGCAAAACGCCCUCGAAUGCUGGCAGGGCUCCCCACUCUCCCUGUUACCAGCUCCCCUAGUUGGGGCAGAGGGGACAAGCAUCGUGACCCGCUUCCCCGCAUGUUGCUGCUGUGCGGCACCCCAAUGCCCACCUAUUUUUGGCGCUCCUCCACCCCAGCUCAUAAUUCCCCUCGCUCAUUAUUAGCAACGUAGUUGGCUGCCACUGGGGCCCCCAACUGUCUUCGACACCUCCAUCCUCCUCCUCCCCCUCCUCUCCAUGUCAUGCCAACGUGAACUUGACGAGGAGGAGGCGGCCCGGCACAGAUCAAGUUUCCAAAUGCGGCGUUGGAGUCUUGAUUCCUUUUAUCUGCCCAGGAUGGGAGUGCAGGGUUGUCUGGGCUGACCUCCAAAUUUUCGUUGCGCGCGAAGCUUGACAGAAACUCGGUCUCGCUCGCUGUCUCUCUCUCCUCCUUAGAUUAUCCAAACAUAUCUAUUGUCUAAUUACUCCUGCAAUGUCAGAGAUCAAGUGAUGACACGAGAAACGCCAGCCAAACGUCAACUUUUUGCGUGGCAGAUGGGCCCAUGCUGCAACAACGCCUCCCGCUUCCGAAAGCCUUUCAUCCUUCUGUGAGAUUCUAUUAUGUGUGCAGGAAUUCUGUACCACAUAUAGAUGAGGAGUUCUUCUUUCUUCGUUCCUUCCUUCUUUCCUUCCUUUCUGUGUUUUUACCUUUUGUGUUAGAAAAGGGUGGAUACUUUGCUAUUCUUCCAAGUAAACUUCCUGUUCUAAAACUUCAACGCUUCAGAGGAUAUCAGUCAUCCUUUGCGUCCACGUCAUCCGGAUCGCAAGACAGCACAGCAAGUGCCCAUAUUUGCUUCCUGGAUUAGUGACCUCAUCCAAAUUCCUCCGGUGAUUCCUGAUUAAACACCACCUCCACCGUGCUGCACUCCCAGUAUGCUUCCGAUACAACGAUCACCGGUCCUCUCAUCUAUUUGAGCAAUUAGAAACCCUCGGAGUGGUCUCACUGCUAAAAGUCGACUUCGCAAUUAGCAAGGAGCAUCAUUAUGCGAGCUUCUAGUCCUGAAGAGCUACAGAAUCCUUCUUGUUAUCAGUUACGAUUCUCCUGCUCCAUGUACGGCAUGCUGUUAUUUAACUAAUUAUACGGCAACUCAUCCAGUUUGCUUACUAACUUUGAUACAUAUAUUUCUAUAUACAUACUCACACACACACAUAGACUUAUAUAUUCAAUUAUUGACCGGGCUUUCGUGCACCGGAAUAUCCUUCCCUGCCCUGACCUGCACACCAAGCACCAACUCCACCUCCAUGGUUCACUGGAUUCACUGUUUCGUUUCACCUCAUCACCCGUUCCAGAAAUCACACGCUCAACGUCAAGCUC
rnacentral:lncRNA from 1 species